rnacentral:rRNA from 1 species
AUUGAACGCUGGCGGCAUGCUUUACACAUGCAAGUCGAACGGUAACAGGCCUUCGGGUGCUGACGAGUGGCGAACGGGUGCGUAAUGCAUCGGAACGUGCCCAGAGGUGGGGGAUAACGCAGCGAAAGCUGUGCUAAUACCGCAUGUGAUCUGAGGAUGAAAGCGGGGGACCAGGCAGCAAUGUUUGGCCUCGCGCCUUUGGAGCGGCCGAUGUCAGAUUAGGUAGUUGGUGGGGUAAAGGCCUACCAAGCCGACGAUCUGUAGCUGGUCUGAGAGGACGACCAGCCACACUGGGACUGAGACACGGCCCAGACUCCUACGGGAGGCAGCAGUGGGGAAUUUUGGACAAAGGGCGCAAGCCUGAUCCAGCAAUGCCGCGUGAGGGAAGAAGGCCUUCGGGUUGUAAACCGCUUUUGUACGGAACGAAAAGGCUCUGGCUAAUACCUGGGGCUGAUGACGGUACCGUAAGAAUAAGCACCGGCUAACUACGUG